AUAAUGGAAGGGGCUGACCAUUGUCCUACUGUGUUCUGAUAUGCUUUUCUAUCAUCUUUGCAAAGCUGAGACAAUCUGAAAAAGAAAGUGUACCUUUUAGUAUUUCCUUUUGGAACGGAAUUUCUGAGCCUACUAAAAGUAGAACUACCAUUUGAUCCAGCAAUCCCACUACGGGGUACCUACGAACUUAAAGCGAAUACUGUUAUGUUUAAUAGGCUAAGGUUAUUUCAAAUAAUUAACAAAGAGGAAUAUUUUUAUUGUCACUUUACUUUUCUCUAAAUAUUGAAUACUUAAACAAUCUGUACAUAUUCUAGAACUGUAAUUAGUAUAUACGAUACCAUAUUGUUCUCAAAAAUACACCAGGACACAAACUGAAAGCAAAUCACAUUAUGCAUAUUUUAAAAGUUAAACAAUAUGUGAACUUCUUUAUAUUUUGAUAAAUAUUAAGAAUUAUUUAUAAAGUGUUUUUAAGGUUUUUUAUUAGGUGAAUAAUGUUUUCUUUCCUUCAAAAUAUAAGGCUCACAACUAUAGAUUUGAUGCUUUAAUUUUGAAUACAAAUAUGGUGUCUACCAAAGUAAACUGAUAAUGAGAGUAUAAAAACGAUUUGCCCCUUGUUCCAGCCUCUGAUUUUCCCACAGGUUCAUUUUCCCCUUUCCCUCGAGAAACACACCAUUGCAUUUUCUAAAUCCUUAAU
rnacentral:lncRNA from 10 species